rnacentral:rRNA from 1 species
CGUAUUCGUUUGAACGAUGGGGGGACGCAGAAAGGUAGGGUGAGCGCGCCGCUGGCUGUGCGCGUCGAAGCAUGCGAGGCUGGAACAUAGGCAAAUCCGUGUUCCGUAAGGCUGAGCUGUGACCGUGAAGGACCUUCGGGUCCGAAAUCCCUGAUCCUCCGCUGCCGAGAAAAGCCUCUAGUGAGAAUACAGGUGCCCGUACCGCAAACCGACACAGGUAGGCGAGAAGAGAAUUCUAAGACGCUCGGGAGAACUCUCGUUAAGGAACUCGGCAAAAUGACCCCGUAACUUCGGGAGAAGGGGUGCUCUAGUAGGGUUAACCGCCCGAGAGAGCCGCAGUGAAAGGAUCCAAGCGACUGUUUAGCAAAAACACAGGUCUCUGCGAA